rnacentral:rRNA from 1 species
AUGACGGUCCUAUGGAUUGUAAACUGCUUUUGUACAGGAAGAAACCUCCCUACGAGUAGGGACUUGACGGUACUGUAAGAAUAAGGAUCGGCUAACUCCGUGCCAGCAGCCGCGGUAAUACGGAGGAUCCGAGCGUUAUCCGGAAUUAUUGGGUUUAAAGGGUUCGUAGGCGGCUUUGUAAGUCAGUGGUGAAAUUUCCUAGCUUAACUAGGACACUGCCAUUGAUACUGCAGAGCUUGAAUAAUAUGGAAGUAACUAGAAUAUGUAGUGUAGCGGUGAAAUGCUUAGAUAUUACAUGGAAUACCAAUUGCGAAGGCAGGUUACUACGUAUUUAUUGACGCUGAUGAACGAAAGCGUGGGGAGCGAACAGGAUUAGAUACCCUGGUAGUCCACGCCGUAAACGAUGGAUACUAGCUGUUCGGUUUUCGGACUGAGUGGCUAAGCGAAAGUGAUAAGUAUCCCACCUGGGGAGUACGUUCGCAAGAAUGAAACUCAAAGGAAUUGACGGGGGCCCGCACAAGCGGUGGAGCAUGUGGUUUAAUUCGAUGAUACGCGAGGAACCUUACCAGGGCUUAAAUGUAGAUUGACAGAUUUGGAAACAGAUUUUUCUUCGGACAAUUUACAAGGUGCUGCAUGGUUGUCGUCAGCUCGUGCCGUGAGGUGUCAGGUUAAGUCCUAUAACGAGCGCAACCCCUAUUGUUAGUUACCAGCGCGUUAUGGCGGGGACUCUAGCAAGACUGCCGGUGCAAACCGUGAGGAAGGUGGGGAUGACGUCAAAUCAUCACGGCCCUUACGUCCUGGGCUACACACGUGCUACAAUGGCAAGUACAGAAAGCAGCUACCUGGCAACAGGAUGCGAAUCUCCAAAGCUUGUCUCAGUUCGGAUUGGAGUCUGCAACUCGACUCUAUGAAGCUGGAAUCGCUAGUAAUCGGAUAUCAG